rnacentral:rRNA from 1 species
CCUACGGGUGGCUGCCGUGAGGAAUAUUGGUCAAUGGGAGAGAUCCUGAACCAGCCAAGCCGCGUGAGGGAAGACGGCCCUAUGGGUUGUAAACCUCUUUUGUCGGAGAACCAAACCCGGGACGUGUCCCGGCCUGCGUGUAUCCGAAGAAAAAGCAUCGGCUAACUCCGUGCCAGCAGCCGCGGUAAUACGGAGGCUGCGAGCGUUAUCCGGAUUUAUUGGGUUUAAGGGGUGCGUAGGCGGUCCGUUAAGUCAGCGGUAAAAUUGCGGGGCUCAACCCCGUCGAGCCGUUGAAACUGGCAGACUUGAGUUGGCGAGAAGUACGCGGAAGGCGCGGUGUAGUGGUGAAAGGCAUAGAUAUCGCGCAGAACUCCGAUUGCGAAGGCAGCGUGCCGGCGCCAGACUGACGCUGAGGCACGAAAGCGUGGGGAUCGAACAGGAGUAGAUACCCGUGUAGUC